UCAUACCAUAGAGCUUUCCAUUGUCC
rnacentral:piRNA from 1 species